rnacentral:rRNA from 1 species
GACAGAGGGGGCAAGCGUUGCUCGGAAUCACUGGGCGUAAAGGGCGCGUAGGCGGGAUGGCAAGUCGGUCGUGAAAUCCUUCGGCUCAACCGAAGAACGUCGGCCGAUACUGCCGUUCUUGAGGGAUGCAGAGGAGAUUGGAAUUCCCGGUGUAGCGGUGAAAUGUGUAGAGAUCGGGAGGAACACCGGUGGCGAAGGCGGGUCUCUGGACCGAUACUGACGCUGAGGCGCGAAAGCGUGGGGAGCAAACAGG